rnacentral:rRNA from 1 species
UAUCUCUGUAGAGUCUGCAUAUCAAUAAGCGGAGGAAAAGAAACUAACUAGGAUUCCCUCAGUAACGGCGAGUGAAGCGGGAAGAGCUCAAAUUUGAAAUCUUCAAGGUUCUACCUUGACGAAUUGUAGUUUAAAGAAGUGUUUUCUGUUGGAGUUUUGGUAAAAGUUCUUUGGAAUAGGACAUCAUAGAGGGUGAGAAUCCCGUAUUUGACCAUUACUUUCCAGCGUUGUGAUACACUUUCAAAGAGUCGGAUUGUUUGGGAAUGCAGUCCAAAAUGGGUGGUAAAUUUCAUCUAAAGCUAAAUACUGGCGAGGGACCGAUAGCGAACAAGUACCGUGAGGGAAAGAUCGAAAAGAACUUUGAAAAGAGAGUUAAACAGUACGUGGAAUUGUCAAAAGGGAAGCGUUUGACACCAGUGUUGUUUUCUCGAAAAUCAAUUAAAAAAGGCUAGGAUUUUGUAUUGUAUUAGACCUUUAUCAGCUUACUGCUACUCUUUUCUUGUCUUUUUUAAUGCACUUUUCGUUUAACAAGUCAACAUCAAUUUCUUCUGUUGUAAAAGAGGUCAUUGGAAGGUGGCUUUCACUUUCGGAUGAAAGUGUUUAUAGCCUUUGGCCUCUGCAAUCGGAGAGAUUGAGGUCUGCAGCGUAGAUCCUUCGGGGUUAGAUACAGUUAGAUGCUAAGUUAUAGCCUUUUCAUAGACAACUUGUUGACUAUAAUCAUCAUGUAGCUUACUCGCUUAUGGCUAUUUUACCUACGCUUAGGAUGUUGACGAUCAGCUGAGCGCG